rnacentral:rRNA from 1 species
GACGAACGCUGGCGGCGUGCUUAACACAUGCAAGUCGAACGAAAAGAGGGGAAGAGCUUGCUCUUUCCGGAAUUGAGUGGCAAACGGGUGAGUAACACGUAAACAACCUGCCUUCAGGAUGGGGACAACAGACGGAAACGACUGCUAAUACCGAAUAAGUUCCAAGGGCCGCAUGGCCCAUGGAAGAAAAGGUGGCCUCUACCUGUAAGCUAUCGCCUGAAGAGGGGUUUGCGUCUGAUUAGCUGGUUGGAGGGGUAACGGCCCACCAAGGCGACGAUCAGUAGCCGGUCUGAGAGGAUGAACGGCCACACUGGAACUGAGACACGGUCCAGACUCCUACGGGAGGCAGCAGUGGGGAAUCUUCCGCAAUGGGCGAAAGCCUGACGGAGCAACGCCGCGUGAGUGAUGACGGCCUUCGGGUUGUAAAACUCUGUGAUCCGGGACGAAAAGGCAGAGUGCGAAGAACAAACUGCAUUGACGGUACCGGAAAAGCAAGCCACGGCUAACUACGUG